CGAAAGCGUGGGGAGCAAAGGGGAUUAGAUACCCCCGUAGUCCACGCCCUAAACGAUGCGGGCUCGAUGUAGGAUCUUCAAUCUGAUCCUGUGUCUUAGCUUACGCGGUAAGCCCGCCGCCUGGGAAGUACGGCCGCAAGGCUAAAACUCAAAGGAAUAGACGGGGACCCACACAAGCGGUGGAGCAUGGGGUUUAAUUCGAUGACAAGCGAAGCACCUCACCCAGACUUGACAUGUCAGGAAUUUGGUCGAAAGAUCGAAGUGCCGCAAGGAACCUGAACACAGGCGGUGCACGGUCGUCGUCAGCUCGUGCCUUGAGGUGUACUGUUCAGUCAGCCAACGAGCGCAACCCUCAUCCUAUGUUGUUAUUUCAUAGGAGACUGCCGCCUCCAAGGCGGAGGAAGGUGAGGAUGACGUCAGAUCAGCGUGCCCUUUAUGUCUGGGGCAACACCCGUGCUACAAUGGUCGGUACAAACGGCAGCUUAACCGCGAGGUGAAGCAAAUCCGAGAAAACCGAUCUCAGUUCGGAUUGAAGUCUGCAACUCGACUUCAUGAAGUUGGAAUCGCUAGUAACCGUGAAUCAGCUACGUCACGGUGAAUAUGUUCCUGGGUCUUGUACUCACCGCCCGUCAACUCAUGGGAGGCAGGGGCACCCGAAGCACCCUUACCAGCAAUGGGGGGUACCACGGUGACACUGCUGACUGGGAGUAAGUCGUAACAAGGUAGCCGUA
rnacentral:rRNA from 1 species